GAUGAACGCUGGCGGCGUGCCUAAUACAUGCAAGUCGAACGAAAAGACGAGGAGCUUGCUCCUCUGACGUUAGCGGCGGACGGGAGAGUAACACGUGGAUAACCUACCUAUAAGACUGGGAUAACUUCGGGAAACCGGAGCUAAUACCGGAUAAUAUAUUGAACCGCAUGGGUGAAUGGUGAAAGACGGUUUUGCUGGCACUUAUAGAUGGAUCCGCGCCGCAUUAGCUAGUUGGUAAGGUAACGGCUUACCAAGGCAACGAUGCGUAGCCGACCUGCGAGGGUGAUCGGCCACACUGGAACUGAGACACGGUCCAGACUCCUACGGGAGGCAGCAGUAGGGAAUCUGCCGCAAUGGGCGAAAGCCUGACGGAGCAACGCCGCGUGAGUGAUGAAGGUCUUCGGAUCGUAAAACUCUGUUAUUAGGGAAGAACAAAUGUGUAAGUAACUAUGCACGUCUUGACGGUACCUAAUCAGAAAGCCACGGCUAACUACGUG
rnacentral:rRNA from 1 species